rnacentral:rRNA from 1 species
CAAGGAGGAGGCAAGCGUUCUCCGGAAUUAUUGGGCGUAAAGGGUACGUAGGCGGCUGGUCAAGCCUGGGGUCAAAGGCCACAGCUCAACUGUGGGAAGGCCCUGGAAACUGACCGGCUAGAGUGAGGUAGGGGUUGCGGGAAUUCCCGGUGUAGCGGUGAAAUGCGUAGAGAUCGGGAAGAACACCUGAGGCGGAAGCGCGCAACUGGGCCUCAACUGACGCUGAGGUACGAAAGCUAGGGGAGCGAAUGGG